GCGCCCAUAGCUUAAUGGAUAGAGCAUCUGACUACGGAUCAGAAGGUUGGGGGUUCGACUCCCUCUGGGCGCG
rnacentral:tRNA from 1 species